GAUUUGUCUGUCAUUAUUCAAAGUUGUCAAAUGUAGCAGAAGGAGGUGAAUGGAGCAGAUUGAGAGGAGAAUAUGAAGAAACAGCAGGUGGCGCUAGUGCACUGUUUUAGUUUGUGAUCUGCUGUUAGAAGGAAGAAGAAGGAGAAAGCAGGUGUGUUUGUGCUUCACAUUCCUGUCCAGUUGGUGGCGCUGCUGCACGAGAUCUGUUGUUAACUGGACUUUGAUUUUCUCCAAGAUGAAGUCGUGUCAGGUGACAAACAUCAAUCGUGAAGAUCGCACAGGUGUUUAAACAGCGAUCACAAACCGAAAGUGUUUUAAAGACUUCUGGAUUCUGUUCCUGCAGCACAAGGUCGUCUGAACUACUGCAAGUCAUGAUGAGCGUCUGAUCGUCUUCAGAGACACAAAGAUCUCAGUGUUGAGCUGUUCAUCUGCUGUAUGUCAGAGAAGAGAGGAAAGAUGAGUCUCUCACAGAAACAGAGUGUAAGAUCAGGAUCACAUGUGUCUGUGAAGAGUGACCGGUCAAAGGAUGGUGGCAUACCGAACUUCAGUGAGAAAAAAAGAUCUAUCAAAAGGUAUUUAUUAUCUUUGACAUUAUAAUGUUGUGUUGGCUUAUUUCUCCACUAAGAUGCUUGUGAUAGAAAUGAAUGAAAUAAAACAAUAAACAACUGAUUUCCUCUUUAUUGAACUCAGUCUGGAGCUUCUUUCCAGUAACACAAUCACACAAGCAGCCACAAGGAGGUAUAAAUUAAGCAUGGAAAAUAGAUCAUGCAGCCAAACAUGAAUAUGUCUUUCUAUCUAUCCAUAGUCAUAGAUGGACAAAUGCAUGUCUAUACUGUGCUUCAUUACCAUCCUCAACAGUGAAGCUCUUUAAAUGAGACUGAAGGAGCUCCUGUAGUGAAGUGUUUUGUUCUUUGUG